UCUUUCUCUUCUUCUGGCACCCCUGUGAUGCAAAUGUUGGACUGCUUGAAGUAGUUUUAGAGGCUACUUGCACUAUCCUCAUUUUGAGGGGAUUUUUUUU